rnacentral:rRNA from 1 species
CCUACGGGAGGCAGCAGUGGGGAAUAUUGGGCAAUGGGCGCAAGCCUGACCCAGCAACGCCGCGGGAAGGAAGAAGGCUUUCGGGUUGUAAACUUCUUUUCUCAGGGACGAAGCAAGUGACGGUACCUGAGGAAUAAGCCACGGCUAACUACGUGCCAGCAGCCGCGGUAAUACGUUGGUGGCAAGCGUUAUCCGGAUUUACUGGGUGUAAAGGGCGUGUAGGCGGGGACGCAAGUCCGAUGUGAAAACCACGGGCUCAACCUGUGGCCUGCAUUUGAAACUGUGUUUCUUGAGUACUGGAGAGGCAGACGGAAUGCCUAGUGUAGCGGUGAAAUGCGUAGAGAUUAGGAGGAACACCAGUGGCGAAGGCGGUCUGCUGGACAGCAACUGACGCUGAGGCGCGAAAGCGUGGGGAGCAAACAGGAUUAGAUACCCGGGUAGUC